rnacentral:rRNA from 1 species
AGGUCUUGACAUCCUCUGAUACCUCUAGAGAUAGAGCAUUCCCUUCGGGGACAGAGUGACAGGUGGUGCAUGGUUGUCGUCAGCUCGUGUCGUGAGAUGUUGGGUUAAGUCCCGUAACGAGCGCAACCCUUGAUCUUAGUUGCCAGCAUUAAGUUGGGCACUCUAAGGUGACUGCCGGUGACAAACCGGAGGAAGGUGGGGAUGACGUCAAAUCAUCAUGCCCCUUAUGACCUGGGCUACACACGUGCUACAAUGGAUGGAACAAAGGGCAGCGAAGCCGCGAGGUGAAGCGAAUCCCAUAAAACCAUUCUCAGUUCGGAUUGUAGGCUGCAAUUCGCCUACAUGAAGCAGGAAUCGCUAGUAAUCGCGGAUCAGCAUGCCGCGGUGAAUACGUUCCCGGGCC